rnacentral:lncRNA from 1 species
CGCGGGGCAGCCGCCGCCGGUUGCACCGGGGGGCGCGCGGGAGGGAGGCCGAGGCGGAGGCGGAGGCGGCGGGACGCGCACCNGGGAACCUCCGCCCUGGCCGGCUCGUCGCGGGCGGGAGUUCCCCGGGACUUUGCCCCACGGACGUCGCAGCCCCCCGGAGUGGAGGGGACGCCCCUGCUCUACCGCUGCGACGGGAGCCCGAGCUCAAGAACUGCCUGGAAUCGGCGCCUUUCCCGAAGAAAAGCAAACAGACAGUCUUCACGAAAGUUGCUUGCCCUGGCACAGCGUUCUGCGCCCAGCUUGCCACAGGACUGGGAUCUGCUCCGAAAAAUGCUUGCACCCAGUAAGCCUCUAGGUACUAUUGUUUCUUGCCUCAGUAGUUCUACUCUACACAUUCUUCAAUAAAGGAAAACUGCAUGAAAUUCCCUAUAUAUGGUAUCAACGAUACCCUACAAUAAACAUUUUUAAAAUAGUAAGAGCUAAUAGUUC